ACACGUGAGCAACCUGCCCCUGACUCUGGGAUAAGCGCUGGAAACGGCGUCUAAUACUGGAUACGAGCAAGAACCGCAUGGUUACUUGUUGGAAAGAUUUUUUGGUUGGGGAUGGGCUCGCGGCCUAUCAGCUUGUUGGUGAGGUAAUGGCUCACCAAGGCGUCGACGGGUAGCCGGCCUGAGAGGGUGACCGGCCACACUGGGACUGAGACACGGCCCAGACUCCUACGGGAGGCAGCAGUGGGGAAUAUUGCACAAUGGGCGGAAGCCUGAUGCAGCAACGCCGCGUGAGGGAUGACGGCCUUCGGGUUGUAAACCUCUUUUAGCAAGGAAGAAGCGAAAGUGACGGUACUUGCAGAAAAAGCGCCGGCUAACUACGUGCCAGCAGCCGCGGUAAUACGUAGGGCGCAAGCGUUAUCCGGAAUUAUUGGGCGUAAAGAGCUCGUAGGCGGUUUGUCGCGUCUGCUGUGAAAUCCCGAGGCUCAACCUCGGGCCUGCAGUGGGUACGGGCAGACUAGAGUGCGGUAGGGGAGAUUGGAAUUCCUGGUGUAGCGGUGGAAUGCGCAGAUAUCAGGAGGAACACCGAUGGCGAAGGCA
rnacentral:rRNA from 1 species